rnacentral:rRNA from 2 species
UACGUAGGGGGCGAGCGUUGUCCGAAGUUACUGGGCGUAAAGCGCGCGUAGGCGGGUUAUUAAGUUGGAUGUGAAAUCUUCGGGCUCAACCCGGAAACCGCAUCCAAAACUGUUAGCCUUGAGGUAUGGAGAGGGAAGUGGAAUUCCUGGUGUAGCGGUGAAAUGCGUAGAUAUCAGGAGGAACACCCGUGGCGAAGGCGGCUUCCUGGCCAUAUCCUGACGCUGAGGUGCGAAAGCUAGGGGAGCGAACGGG